UACGAAGGGGGCUAGCGUUGUUCGGAAUUACUGGGCGUAAAGCGCGCGCAGGCGGUCCUUUAAGUCGGACGUGAAAUCCCCAGGCUUAACUUGGGAACUGCGUCCGAUACUGGAUGGCUUGAGUGCGGGAGAGGUGAGUGGAAUUCCCAGUGUAGAGGUGAAAUUCGUAGAUAUUGGGAAGAACACCAGUGGCGAAGGCGGCUCACUGGCCCGUAACUGACGCUGAGGUGCGAAAGCGUGGGGAGCAAACAGG
rnacentral:rRNA from 1 species